UGGGGAAUAUUGCACAAUGGGCGAAAGCCUGAUGCAGCGACGCCGCGUGAGGGAUGACGGCCUUCGGGUUGUAAACCUCUUUCAGUAGGGAAGAAGCGAAAGUGACGGUACCUGCAGAAGAAGCGCCGGCUAACUACGUGCCAGCAGCCGCGGUAAUACGAAGGGCGCAAGCGUUAUCCGGAAUUAUUGGGCGUAAAGAGCUCGUAGUCGGUUCGUCGCCACUGCCGUGAAAGUCCGGGGCUCAACUCCGGAUCUGCGGUGGGUACGGGCAAAGUAGAGUGAUGUAGGCGAGACUGGAAUACCUGGUGUAGCGGUGAAAUGCGCAGAUAUCGGGAGGAGAUUCGAUGGCGAAGGCAGGUCUCUGGGCAUUAACUGACGCUGAGGAGCGAAAGCGUGGAGAGCGAGCAGG
rnacentral:rRNA from 1 species